rnacentral:rRNA from 1 species
CAGUAGCCACGGUAAUACGAAGGGGGCUAGCGUUGUUCGGAAUUACUGGGCGUAAAGCGCACGUAGGCGGAUAUUUAAGUCAGGGGUGAAAUCCCGCAGCUCAACUGCGGAACUGCCUUUGAUACUGGGUAUCUUGAGUAUGGAAGAGGUUAGUGGAAUUGCGAGUGUAGAGGUGAAAUUCGUAGAUAUUCGCAGGAACACCAGUGGCGAAGGCGGCUAACUGGUCCAUAACUGACGCUGAGGUGCGAAAGCGUGGGGAGCAAACAGGAUUAGAUACCCGCGUAGUCCCUGUCUCUUAUAC